UCGGCGGUGGCUUUGGUGCAGCGCCGGUGGCUCUGGUGCAGCGUUGGUUGGUGGUCGACUUUCUUUUCCAGCGACUGGUCAUUCUUCUCUGGCAGGGGCAGGGUGAAUAGGGUUGGGGUUCCCCUCCGACGCGAUGUUUUUAUAUUCAUUUUGUGUCGAUUUAGGCCAUCCAUUCGCGUCAACGUGGAGCGAGGAGAGUCGUAUGAUCGUUACUUGUUUAUGCCGAUUAGGUAGAUGAAUCUAGAUCGUUCAUCGGAAUUGAUCUCGUCCGUUCGAUUAUACCUAAGGAGGGAACGAAUUUGAGCCGUUCACGUGCACGGGAUCGAACCUGGGUCGUCGGAUCGCUGGACACGCGGAUUGCCCGCAUGGCCUCCCGUGUGACGGUGACAUCAGCGUGUUUACCACGCGGAGUGUUCCGAUUCGUCGGGACUGCUAAUUAGUUGUCUCAU
rnacentral:lncRNA from 1 species